rnacentral:tRNA from 1 species
GCAUCGGUGGUUCAGUGGUUAAAUGCUUGCCUGCCACGCGGGCGCCCCGGGUUUGAUUCCCAGCCGAUGCA